rnacentral:rRNA from 1 species
AAACAGUGGCAUCAGUUUACCAUCGCCAGAUCUUUGCAACAGUGCCAGCAGUGAAACGCGCUGAACGUGUUCUGAGAGAUCGAUAAUAACAUUUGCAAAAAUGCCGGACGGUGCGUAGCGCUGGGUCGGCGUAACUAUCUGUUCUUCGGCUCGGACAGAGGCGGCGGCGAUCAUCUACGGCCUGCUGGGCACCGGCAAACUGAACGGCGUAGAGCCGGAGUGCUGGCUGCGCGACGUGCUUGGCAAGAUCAGCGACUGACCAUUAAGCUGGAUACACGAACUGCUGCCCUAGAACCUCUAGACUGUAA